UUAUGGCUGAGAACAAAGAUACGAGUGUGCCUGGACAGGCGUCGCCAAUGGAUGAAACUAUCGUCUUCGCAGAGGCAGGGAUAUGCUGCACGCCUGCCGAUGUCCUCGUGAAAUUCCAAGAGAAGAUGACGGAAUUUGAGUGUGACGAGAUCCUUACAUACAAAUGGAUAUAUUAUUUCAAGAUGCGUAGUGCGACAGAAGGUGCCUCCAAUAUCGGCUACGAUGAUGAAAAUAACCACUACAUACCGGUCAUGGACGAGCAUCUGGCAUAUAGGUACCAAGUACUGAAGGUGCUUGGGAAGGGAGGUUAUGGCCAGGUGCUCCAGUGCCUGGAUCAUAAAACGAAACAGCAAGUGGCUUUGAAAAUGUUCAAGCAUGACUCAAGCAUCGUGCAUAAUACGUACAACUCGGAAAGGGAAAUCCUAAAUGUCUUGAAGUCGGUGGACAGCAAUAACAUCAUCAGACUCCUUCAAACCUUCAGAUUCAGGGGCCACUAUAAUAUGGUUCUUGAACUUGUCUUAGGAGGAAACCUGAAAGAGGAACUCUCAAUCACCUGCAAGGUUGAUUUACCCAAAAUCAGGCUCUACAUGAGAUCCAUUCUGAGAGCCCUGGUGAAACUCAAGCGUGAGGCGAUCAUUCACGGAGAUCUGAAGCUAGAAAACAUCCUCGUCAAAGACCAUGACACAGGCGAUGUCAGACUCGCCGAUUUUGGCCUCAGCGUUCGAGAGCGUCUCCAUUUCUUCACGCACCGCGGCACCAAGGGUUACAUGGCCCCGGAGAUGUACCUCUAUCUCCCGGUCACGUGCUCAGUCGACAUGUGGUCUCUGGGUUGCAUCGCAGCAGAGCUGGCCAUGGGGAAACGAUUGUUCAGGAAAAAGCAAAUAUUUCACGUUGGGCGCAUCAUACAGGUCCUGGGGCUUCCGCCAAUGAACAUCAUAACAGCCUUGAAAGUCAAGAUUAUUCGCAUUGAUGAUGAAGGUGGCGUUUAUUCCAACGGCAAGAAAACCACCCCUGGCAGUGACCCCCUCGACAAACUGCUUGGGAUCGAAAAUAUUCAUUUCCUCCACUUUGUCAAAAGAUGCCUUGAAUGGGAUCCUAUUCGGCGGCUCACACCCCAACAGGCCCUGGAUCAUCAGUGGAUACGUGACACCUCACCCGACCCGGCUGUGGAGCCUCAGUCGGUGGUGACGAGCUCAUCCCUAGACCCAGCAGCACCAGCGCCUUCUGACGCACACGAGACAACUUAUCUCACUCCUGGCAAUUGCGGAACGAUUUCUGGACCAUCCGAUCCAGGUACCCGUCCCGUCGCUACUGGCGUCCACCAACACAUGGAAGUCGUACAUGACUGCUCUAGAGUCAAAUUGUGAGCAACCGAACGUGAUCUCCUUAUCGCUACCAACAUCAAUCCACGCCCAGGGGCAAUGUGACGAGAGGUCGAGCGGCACUCAGGAGGGCCUCCAUGAAAACAUCGGCGGUGAAGAAAUUGAGUCGACCACGAGGCAACAGUGGGAGCCCGUUCCUUGCCCCAGCGAGGAUCAUCGCGAUGAGGGGAAGGAAGAUGCCGUCACCUUCCUCAGGGCGACGCAAGCGAAGGGGUCCCGG